UCACAUGUUUUCAUAGGCCCCUGAAAAGCCCGGAGGCCCUGGGUACUGUGCCUUUAGUGCCACGUGGAAAGAACAGCUUGGGCUCAGGACUUCAGGUGGUCUCCACCCGGCCACUGGAGAGAAUGAGACAAAAAAGCCCCAGAUGAGGAAACUCAAGAAGCUAUGAAAGGUGAAGGCAUUUGCUCAGAGUCACACAGCUACUGAGGAGCAAACCAAGGAUUUAACCCUUCAUCCCUUUAGCUUUGAGGAUCUUUCAGCUGCCCAGUGCCCGUGAAGAUGAAUAAAUAUUAACUAUUACUAUUAUCAUUAUCAGAAUCUUCCUCUCCCUGAAGGAAUUAAGAGAAGAAAAAGCAUCCUCAUUCUACCGCUUACUAGCUGUGUAACCAUGGGUAAUGUACUUAAUCUGUCUGUGCCUCAGUUUGUUCACCUAUAAAAUGGGGAUAUAGGACCUACCUCAAA